rnacentral:rRNA from 1 species
GACGAACGCUGGCGGCGUGCUUAAUACAUGCAAGUCGAACGAGAGCGACCGGUGCUUGCACUGUUCAAUCUAGUGGCGAACGGGAGAGUAACACGUGGGUAACCUGCUCAUCUGUGGGGGAUAACAUCCGGAAACGGACGCUAAAACCGCAUAGGUCCUCGAGCCGCAUGGCUGGAUGGGGAAAAGAGGCGCAAGCUUCUGCUGAUGGAUGUACCCGCGGUGCAUUAGCUAGUUUGUCAGGUAACGGCUCACCAAGGCGGGUAUGCAUAGCCGCCGUGAGUGACUGAUCGCCCACAUUGGAACGGCAACAGGGCCCAAGCUCCUGCGGGAGGCAGCAGAAGGGUAUGUUACGCAAUGGUCGAGAAUAUGACAGAGCAGCGCCACGUCAGUGGCGACAGUUUUGGGAGCGUAAAACUCUGCUGUUGGAGAAGAACAAGUGCUAGAGUAGCUGUACGGGGAUUGACGGUAACUAGCAAGAAAGCAACGGCUAACUACGUG